rnacentral:rRNA from 1 species
GAUGAACGCUGGCGGCGUGCCUAAUACAUGCAAGUCGAGCGAACGGACGAGAAGCUUGCUUUUCUGAUGUUAGCGGCGGACGGGUGAGUAACACGUGGAUAACCUACCUAUAAGACUGGGAUAACUUCGGGAAACCGGAGCUAAUACCGGAUAAUAUUUUGAACCGCAUGGUUCAAUAGUGAAAGACGGUCUUGCUGUCACUACUCGAGGGUUCCGAGCUGGUUUGGCUGGUUGUUAAGUUACCGGCUUAGCAAGGCAAGUAUGGAUAUCCCAAUGAAGGGGGUGAUCGGCCACACUAGAACUGAGCCACGGUCCAGACUACUACGAGAGGGAGCAGUAGGCAAUCGGCCGCAAUGGGCGAGAGCCUGACGGAGCAACGCCACGUGAGUUAUGAAGGUCUUCGGAUCGUAAAACUCUGUUAUUAGGGAAGAACAUAUGUGUAAGUAACUGUGCAGAUCUUGACGGUAACUGAUCAGAAAGCCACGGCUAACUACGUG